CGGUCAGACGAACGUUGGCGGCGUGCCUAAUACAUGCAAGUCGAACGAACUUUGGUAUUGAUUGGUGCCUGCAUCAUGAUUUACAUUUGAGUGAGUGGCGAACUGGUGAGUAACACGUGGGAAACCUGCCCAGAAGCGGGGGAUAACACCUGGAAACAGAUGCUAAUACCGCAUAACAACUUGGACCGCAUGGUCCGAGUUUGAAAGAUGGCUUCGGCUAUCACUUUUGGAUGGUCCCGCGGCGUAUUAGCUAGAUGGUGGGGUAACGGCUCACCAUGGCAAUGAUACGUAGCCGACCUGAGAGGGUAAUCGGCCACAUUGGGACUGAGACACGGCCCAAACUCCUACGGGAGGCAGCAGUAGGGAAUCUUCCACAAUGGACGAAAGUCUGAUGGAGCAACGCCGCGUGAGUGAAGAAGGGUUUCGGCUCGUAAAACUCUGUUGUUAAAGAAGAACAUAUCUGAGAGUAACUGUUCAGGUAUUGACGGUAUUUAACCAGAAAGCCACGGCUAACUACGUGCCAGCAGCCGCGGUAAUACGUAGGUGGCAAGCGUUGUCCGGAUUUAUUGGGCGUAAAGCGAGCGCAGGCGGUUUUUUAAGUCUGAUGUGAAAGCCUUCGGCUCAACCGAAGAAGUGCAUCGGAAACUGGGAAACUUGAGUGCAGAAGAGGACAGUGGAACUCCAUGUGUAGCGGUGAAAUGCGUAGAUAUAUGGAAGAACACCAGUGGCGAAGGCGGCUGUCUGGUCUGUAACUGACGCUGAGGCUCGAAAGUAUGGGUAGCAAACAGGAUUAGAUACCCUGGUAGUCCAUACCGUAAACGAUGAAUGCGCUAAGUGUUGGAGGGUUUCCGCCCUUCAGUGCUCGCAGCUAACGCAUUAAGCAUUCCGCUGGGGAGUACGGCCGCAAGGCUGAAACUCAAAGGAAUUGACGGGGGCCCGCACAAGCGGUGGAGCAUGUGGUUUAAUUCGAAGCUACGCGAAGAACCUUACCAGGUCUUGACAUACUAUGCAAAUCUAAGAGAUUAGACGUUCCCUUCGGGGACAUGGAUACAGGUGGUGCAUGGUUGUCGUCAGCUCGUGUCGUGAGAUGUUGGGUUAAGUCCCGCAACGAGCGCAACCCUUAUUAUCAGUUGCCAGCAUUAAGUUGGGCACUCUGGUGAGACUGCCGGUGACAAACCGGAGGAAGGUGGGGAUGACGUCAAAUCAUCAUGCCCCUUAUGACCUGGGCUACACACGUGCUACAAUGGAUGGUACAACGAGUUGCGAACUCGCGAGAGUAAGCUAAUCUCUUAAAGCCAUUCUCAGUUCGGAUUGUAGGCUGCAACUCGCCUACAUGAAGUCGGAAUCGCUAGUAAUCGCGGAUCAGCAUGCCGCGGUGAAUACGUUCCCGGGCCUUGUACACACCGCCCGUCACACCAUGAGAGUUUGUAACACCCAAAGUCGGUGGGGUAACCUUUUAGGAACCAGCCGCCUAAGGUGGGACAGAUGAUUAGGGUGAAGUC
rnacentral:rRNA from 2 species